UAAACUAACCUGAUUUAGUGUUAUACUCCACAUAUAUGUCUUAAUAGAUUUCACAUAAACCAUGUAAAAUUUUCAUGAUUUCGAAGUAAUAACUGAAAAAGAGAAAACUAACAAGUGUAGGAAACAGAAAUGAGAUGUUUAGGACAAUUGUACAUGUUAGAAUAAGAUGGUAAAUGCUUAUUCCACCGAAUAAGAAGAAUCAGGAGCAAAUUCACAACACAGAAGACAUUCCUUAUGACUUCACAAGGAUUAACUUCUUUUCUCAUUGCUCCCUUCUGGUUUCCCUAUCCUCGGAUCAGAAAGCGAGAACUUCUUUACUUUCUUGUUGAUUACGCAUUGGCGCAAAGUUUCAAGCAACUUUUGGCAUUUCUCCUUAUCAUAAGGCGAUUCAGUGGUGCAAUUUAGGAGAUCAAGUGCUUCUUGCCCACAAACAGGUUGAAGACUUUCCGGGGCAUCCAUGAAAAACCUUGAGGAUUUUGUGAAUUAGGGUUUAUGGAAUUUGGGAAUUGUGAAUCUUUAAGUAUGAAGAUUGAAAUUCUGUAAUCUGUUGCCCACUGUUUGUUUUUCUUUUUUUUACUUACAGA
rnacentral:misc_RNA from 1 species